GUCGCAGCUCUCCCACCCCCACAUGCCUGUGACUCGACUGUUCCAAGUUACAGGGGGGCUGCCAUCACCAUGAGCCGAAGAGCCCUUCGGGUUAUCUUCAGAGCUGCUGUCAGGCUGAAAUUUGGUUUACCCAGAAUGCUCGGCUCGGAGCAUCUUUCCCUGCCUAGAACUCCAGAGCAUGUGGCUUCUGGCCCCUAACAGCUUACCGGCAGAGGGAAAGUGACUUUGGACAGUCAAGCACUAAAUGAGUCAUGGACAGUGGCGCCUGCAGGUUGGCAGGCCAGGCUCUCAGGGCUUUACCCCUUCCAGCCCAAUGCCAGUCAUCAGGGCUGUCCCAGACCAGCGGCGCCACAUAGUGGCCGCUUGGGGAGUUGCAGGCCACCCCCUUUGUGCUGGCUCCCAGCUUCCCCUUCUGUGUUGUUUCCAGUGCUCAUAGCUCACUUCUAUUCUGUCUCCCGGUUCAUCUCACACAUGCGCACUUGCCAGAGAGAUGUUUCUUGCUGCCACCUCAGAGGAGUGCUGGAGGGGGGGAAGGCUGGAUCCUGACCCCAAGGAACGUACUGCCUGGUUCCUGAGUCAAACCCCAAACUUGUGGAAAUACAACAGGGUCCGAGACAUGAGCAGUCAGACAAGAUAGCAGGGCAGGAGAGCGGUGGUGCUGGAACACGCGAGGCUGCUGGUGGAAGGUUCUGGGUGAGGCACUGCCAGGAGGUGGUAUCAGUGGGAGACCACUUGUUCUCGAGGGCACAGGGGAACUGGAUGAGUGGGUCGUCGCCAAGUGGUGGGAGGAGGGGCAUCCCAGAGGUGAGUGUGGGGAACAGUGAGAGCUCCGCCAGGAGCCAGGGUUUAGCUGGCAAGGAUCUUGGGUUCUGUGUUGCGGGAGGACUUGGGAAGUGCAUUAGUUGGCUAGAGCUGCCCCAGCUAAGCACCACAGACCUGCAGCCUCAACAGCAGAACUUUAUGGUUCUGGAAGCUGGAAGGCCAGGAUCGAGGUGUCAUAGGGCUGGUUCCUUCAGAGGCCUGGCUCCUUGGCUUGUAGGUGGCCGCCUUCUCCCUGUGUCCUCGCAUGGUCAUCCCCCUGUGCGUGUCUGUGUCUUAAUCUCCUCUCAUAAGGACACCAGUCAGAUUGGAUUAGGGCCCGCCCAGAUGACCUUGUUUCAACGUCAUCACUUCUCUAAAGGCCCCGUCUCCAAAUAUAGUCAUGUUCGGAGGAACGGGGGGUUGGGACGUCAGCAUAUGGAUUGUGGGGGAGCACAGUCCAACCCGUAACAGGAAGGUAAGCAGGGGCAAGUUGCAGAAGCCUGGAAGGGCUUUGGACUUCCACUUGAGUCAGCCAUGGACAAUUCUUGAGCUGAGAAUAGCCUCAGUAUACACGUGGGAGCUUUAGAAAGAUGACCCAGGAUCUGAUAGCGAGGUGUGGUUUGGGUUAGACGGUGAAUAAGGCGGGCGAGGUGCCAGAAGUCCAGCGGUUUGUGGGUAGAGCAGAAGCUGUGGGAAGAAGAUGGUAAUGGGGGUGAAGGUACCAAGAAGGGGGUUCCCUGAUUCACAGACUCCAGGAUCAUGGAGUCAGGCAGCUGGGAAGGAGCCCCAGUGCUCGUCCACAGCACCUGUUUGGUCAGUGUCCCAGGAGGACUGGCUGAGGCCACUGUAGCUGCCCGACCCUGGGGUGGUGCCUCCCCUCCCAGAGGGAAAGCGCCUGCAGAGAUGCCCUGAGGAGGGUGGUAUGUCAAGAGAAACAGGGCUAACUCUGGUUCUCACGUGUUUUCAGAUGCCCGUCGUGCAUAUGGCCUCACCAAGUGUCUGUAACAGCUUGGAGGUGGGCAGUGUUACUUUCCCAUUUUACGGAUGAGGGAAAGGAUCAGAGAGGGUCACUGGCCUGGCCUGGGUGGCACAGGUUGCAGGGACUGGGCUGGCUCUCAGCUGCAGAAUCGAUGCUCAUCAUCGCUGUCACGUUUUGCUUUCUGGGCCCCCAUGUGUGGUAACCGUCUCCUCCAGGCAGUCUUCCAUGACUGCCCUGGCCCUGAGCGUCAUGGUGGACAUGUCGGGGUAUGUAUUUGGCAUAUGAUCUGCCUUCCCUUCCCCAACACACCUCACUUCUGCCACUCACGCUUGGUAAUCUGUAAUUUAGCUGGAUCAGUCACAGUUCAUUUCUUGUCAAAUAAAAAAGGUUUGUUGCAACUAUGGCGAGGUAUGGACAUAUAGUCUGUACUUACGGACCAUUUCAUGGGGGGUGGGGGACAGCCCUGUGAAGUAGGUACUGUUGCCCUCAUCUUCUAGCGAGGAAACUGAGGCAGAGAGAUAAAGUUGCUUGGCCAGAGUCACAAAGCUCCCAUGAGGUGGAGCUGGGAUUCAAACCCAGGUAGCCUGUGUCUCCGGCGGACCGUCCAGGGGCGCCCAGUCUGUGCCAAGUGCGGCACAUCAUUAGUCACCAAGAGAUGAGCCAGCAGAAGGGCCCUUUUCCUAGAUGCACAGAAGGUGGCCUGACCAGGCUAGGAGGACAGGCAGGAGUUCAUCAGGCCGAGAAAGGGCUAGGAAAAAGGAUUUGGUGGGCUGGGGGACCAGCAUGUGCAAGGCUCCGGGCCUGGGACAUCAGGGCACUGUUUUUUCCUCAGCUCUGAGAAGAUGGAGUGGGAACCCGACCCUUCUGCCCCUGAACCUUUUCCUGUGCCUGCUCUGCCAGUGACAGUGCUGCAUAAGACCAUGUCCCACCCUGGGACCUGGGCCCCUGGGCAUGGGGAGUGGCUCAGGGAGGCAGGACAGAGCCCGGCUCUGAGAGGCAGCAUCUGGGGGUGGUGUGCAGGCCCCCGGGACGAGAUGCUGCUGGUCCUGUGGGAACCGAGUUUUGAUAGGGGCUGCUUCUCUUGGGCUGGGAGAGGUGGGAGCCCAGGCCAGUGUCUGCUUGGUUCACUCAUCCGCCCCUUCACUGGGGUCAGGCCGUGAACGCGAUGGAGGAAGCCCCUGCCCUCCCAGAGCCAACGUUCUGCCCGCAAGGUGGACCUGAGUCGGUGCGGCAGCUCUGGCUGAGGCAAGAGGGUUUGUCCAGAUGGAAACUUCUUCCCGCCUUGGCUAGGGCCCACGGGCGUGGCCUCCUCCUGUGGAGCCCUCCCUGUCUCUCCAGGACGCAGUUACAGGUCUGCCUCCUGAGCCACGUGCUUCCUAGCGCCCGGCCUGGGGGCGCUGCCCCGUCGGCACCCCAGCUCUCCCAUGGGUUGGGGAGCCCCGGUCGGCUGGCUGGAACUCCGAGUCACGCACUUUCUCCUGGCCUUGCCUCCUGCACGCCACGGGGUUGGGGUGCUUCUGUUGCCUCUGCUUCUGUCCCUGUCUGGAGCAGGGGGCGGCCAAGGGCCCUUGCCACCACCCGGCUCACGGUGGCACCUGGGCCCGGAGCUGUGCGAGGAAGGUGUGAACAGAUGGCAGGACGGGGCCCUUGGAACGGCCGGCUCCUUUGCCUGGCCUUGUGCGGGCUCCACGGCACUUUUUCCGUGUCCUCGGUUCUCACCGCGGCGCCAGCGUGUGGACAGGGCCGGCUCGUUAUGACUCCUAUUCUGCCGGUCCGGAGCCCGGGGCCCAGGGAAGCCGCUGGGAUUGCACACUGGUCUCCAGGCCUCAGUUCAGAGCUUUUGCUCUAGUGACUCCCCACGCCAGCCUCACUGUCUCCGUGCCCUCCUCACUGUUCCAGGCGGCCCGCUGGCCCCCGAGUGACCAUAUGUGCAGCGAUGGCAUUGUUGCCCACGUCACCCACUGUCCUCCUUCCUAAAGGCACUUCCCAGAUUUCUGAAAGUAGGGCUACCCAGGGCUGAGAGGGCACGGUUGAGACCAUUCACUGCCGGUGGUGCCACAGCGAAGACCUGCAGUCCUCUUGGGAAACGGCUCAGUGUUGCACAACAGCUACUGCAGAAACGACGAUUCCGUGGACCCCGAAAGUGACUUCUGGGAAUUUGGCCAAUGGAAGUGGCUUACCACAAGCACAAAUCCUUAUGUGAGACACGUUCAUCGAAGCCACGUCUGGUGGAGAAACAUUGGCACAAAUGUAAAUGACUUCAGGGGAAACGUCACCAGUCAGGUAACCAGGGUACGCGAAGUCACGGGAAGACAGCGGCAGCAACAGUGUUUGGGAAAAUCAGAAUUAAGAAGGCAAGUCCGAUCACAGUCGUAGCAAAGUAGGUAAAGAGGAUGCUUGUGCACGGGAUGUCCUUCAGAGGGCGCAAGGCCAGGCUGAGCAGGGAUGUAUGUGACUGCUUUCUUGUUUCCAAGUGGAACAAGCCCGGAGGUAGAGGGGUGUGACGACAUGAUGGCAUGAGGCCUGUGCACGGGCUAGGUACAGAACAUGGGUCAGGUGGUACCCUGACACGCCGACCGCAUGCCCUGUGUCUGUCCAGAUGUGCCCCGGAUGCCCGAGGAGCCAGCCUUGUGCCUUAGGCAACAGUGACCCCUUCACGCCACAGGUCAGAUCACUCACUCGGCAAGUGUUUGUUGAGCAGCUACUAUGUGCCAGGCAGUGUUCUAGGCACUGGGCUAUGGCUGUGAACAAAACCUAGAAGCUCCUGCCUGCCCUUGUGGAACUGACCUUCUAGAGAGGGAGACAAGAGCUGGCAAAGAUAGGUAUUUCCUCUGGCACACUUUCCUGAUGUCGUCCCACUGCUCCGGGCCACACAGCAGGCUCCUGGCCCCCUGGGUCCCCUCCCUUGGCUGUCUGCCACCUGUCUCCCCUCUGCCCAGCCCUAACUCCUGGGCGUUGUUCACUCGUGGGGCCCUGCCCGCCACAGAAGCUUCAGAGGCUUCCAGCCCUGCAUGUCCUCGGAGACUGUCCCUGCGCCUGGGUGGUCUUUGCAUCAGAUACUGCCUGGGUGAAGAAAUGACACCUGUCCAAGAGAAGGGAACCAGGACAGGGUCCCAUUACAGCUGUGUCCAGUCUCCCCACCACCACCAGGGUCCUGCCAAGAUGUCUUUUGCAGCCACGGGAGGACAGACUGCUCUGCCAGCACCACGCUGGGUGCACGAGAGAGCAAGUGAGGUCGGGGCCCGGCACCCGACACGCCCCAGGAGGCCGGACAUGGACCAGUGGCCACGUGCAGCAUCGGCCUGCUCCCCUUUGGGUGUCUCCAGCUGGCCUUGCCACUGUGGGGUACCUGUUACGUACCAGGGCUCCCGACAACCCUCCAGGGAGACAGUGCUCCCAUUUUACAGAUGAGGAGAGUAGGGCCCAGCAGAGUUUAGUCGACUUGCCAAAGGUUACAGGUGAUGAGCAAUUUACCCCAGGUUCAAAGUCAGGCUUCAGAGUGCUGUCUUACCCCUAGCUGUCCUCUUAUAGCCACCUGUUUGUCAUUGGCCUUUUACCUUCUUGGUAGUUCUGUAGCAGCUGCCUGUAGUCAGAUAAAGAGCGUGGCCACCUGGCAGAGUGAGGCCGGGUGUGACUCAAGACGCCUGGGCUCUCACCCUUGGGCUGCCGGUAACUUGUGUGUGGCCUUGAACUGUUCUCUUUCCUCUUCGGACGUGUGGACACAUGGCUGGGACUCGCUCAUCUCUGAGGGCCUCCAGCUUCACAUUCUGUGAUGAGGGUGGCAGACGAGGGAGGACGGCGCUGUUGCAGUUUCCCAGGGGCUAACGUUUCGGCUCUGAACAGAACACAACCCACCAUCCGACUAAAAAAAGCCUCUUUCCCGCUCCCAUCCAGAAAUAAAGAUGAUAGAUAAAUAAGCAACAGUAGCCUUUUUCUGGGAACCAGAAAUAGCCUCCUGGGCCCCCGGGGCUGACUUCUAGAAAGUCUUCAGUCUCUCUUUGGGGAGGAGAGCUGCUUUCGAUGUUGCGAGUUUCCCACGGGAGAACUGGCGGAACCCUCUGCUGUUGCCAUGCCCCGUGAGGCGGGGCCGCCGUGCCAGCUGCCAUCAGGGCGCUGGCUCUGAUGCUGUCGCGGCCUGCUCCCCCUCCCCGCCCCCCCCCCCCCCAGGAGCACGCUGACCCCAGAUGCAUCGCCUUUGCCACCUGCUCACCUUCCCUUGUCUCUGUUCAGCGAGACCUUGCUCCCUGACCUCGCCCCUGCUCUGCUGGCACCCCUUUGCGGCACCCCGCCAGCACCAUCUAGGGGUGCGUCUCGCUUACCAGCCUGCUUUACUGUCUGGGAAUGUAAGCUCCGUGCGGGUGGGCACGUCUGUUUGUUAAGUCCUGUAUUUCUGGCUCCUAUGAUUUAGCAGAGCCCCAACACAACACCUAUCUUGCCACUGGUGACGAAUGGUUGUUGACCCCAAAAUAGGAACCGUAGUCGUUUCUAAUUCAGUGUGAUUUCCCGGACACGCAGGAUGAUCCUGGUUCAAGCAGUAAAGACAUCGUCGUCUCCUGUACUCGAGUCCAGAGAGGAACAGGCCUGGGGCGUGGAGCAGCCAUGGCCUGGUGUGGACAGUUGUCCCUUCCAGCCUCUGCCCUGCAGGCUCAAGACUGCCUUCACCUGGUGCUGCCUCUUGCUGGUGACUGAGCUCUGAUUAUGGGUCCUUCUUGGCAGUGUGAUUGGCCAGUCUCAGUCCCAGACCUACCCCUGGAGCGAGAGCAGGGUGGGCACCCCGUGGUGCCUACUGCUCAGAGUGCGGUCAGCAGGCUCCAAGUUGGGAGAAGGGGGGAAGACCGUGACGGUGUGCGUGUGCCCCUCCUUCCUGGUGCCACCUCUCUUGGGCCCCGCUUCACAUCACAGCCUGAGAUUUCAGAAAACUGGGGCUGUCUGGCCUAAUGCUAGAUGUGGCCCAUUCACUGGAAAUGUCUCGUCUCUGCUUUUCCUCUGGACCCCAAACAUCUCUGGGGGAAGCACUUGCCUUGGCCUUGUCUGACUUCACCCGGGACCUGACGACGGGAGGUGAGGCAGGGGGAGCUGCAGGUUUAAAAGAGACGCUGUACGUGGAGUAUGCACUUGAGAGAUGGCAGCUGCUGCUGCUGGGGAAUUUUUCUUGUUGUUUCCUUUUAGUUGAUACAGUACACAUGCCAUAAAAUCCACCUUUUAAUUUAUUAAAAAAUUUUUUUAAUAGAGAGAGAGAGAGAGAGAGAGAGAGAGAGAAAGACAUAGAAUCUGAAGUAGGCUCCAGGCUCUGAGCUGUCAGCACAGAGCCCAACAUGGGGCUCGAACUCACAAACCAUGGGAUCAUGACCUGAGCCGAAGUCGGACACUUAACCGACUGAGCCACCCAGGUGCCCCUGAAAUCCACCUUUUUAAAGUACACAUGCAGUUCAAUAGUUUUGAAUAUCUUCCCCAAAUUGUGCAACCAUCACCGUUAUCUAAGGCCAGGACAUUUUCCUCAUCCCAGAAAGAAAUGUACCCAUUUGUAGUCAGUCCCCAUCCCUGCCAGCCCUUGGCAACCACCGUAGACAGAUUUGCCUAUUCUGGACAUUUCAUAUGAAUGAAGUCACACAAUAUGGGAUUUUUGUGACCAGCUUCCUUCGCUCAGCAUACAGUUUUCAAGGUCAUGUUGUAGCCCGUGUUGACACUUCUUUCCUUUUUCUGGCUGAAUGAUACCCCAUUGAAUGGGCACAUCAUAUCUUGUUUACCCACUUGUCAGUUGAGGGGCAUUUCGGUUGUUGCCACUUUUUGCCAAUGCUGCUGUGAACAUUCCUGGGCAGGUUUUUGUGUGGACAUAGGUUUCCAUUCCCUUGGUUGCGUAUCUGGGAAUCACACUGUGACUCUGUGUUUAACUGUUUGUGGGAUUGCCAGACUGUUUCCCAAAGCAGCUGUAUCAUUGUACAUUCCCACUGGCAAUGUUAGCACUUGUUAUUUCCUGUCUUUUUGAUUAUAGCCAUUAGUAGAUGUGAAAUAGGAUCUCCUUGUAGUUUUGAUGUGUAUUUCCUUGACGGCUAAUGAUGUUGAGCAUCUUUUCACGUGCACACCAGCCAUCUGUAUGUCUUAUGUUGAGAACUUUCUAUUCAAAUCCUUUGCCCAUUUUAAAUUUGGGUCAUCUUUUUAUUGUUUAUUUCUUAAUAGUUCUUUAUAGGUUUUGGAUAUUAGGCCAUUAUCAGAUACAUGAUUUGCAAAUAUUUUUCUCCAUUCUGUGGGUUGUCUUUUUUACUUUCUUGACAGUGUUCUUUGAAGCACAAAAGUUUUGAAUUUCGAUGAUGUCAGAUUUGUCUUUUUUUUUUACUUUCAUUGCUUAUGCUUUUAGUGUCU